rnacentral:rRNA from 1 species
CAAUACGGAGUGGCAGACGGGUGAGUAACACGUGGGAACGUGCCCUUUGGUUCGGAACAACACAGGGAAACUUGUGCUAAUACCGAAUAAGCCCUUACGGGGAAAGAUUUAUCGCCAAAGGAUCGGCCCGCGUCUGAUUAGCUAGUUGGUGGGGUAACGGCCCACCAAGGCUACGAUCAGUAGCUGGUCUGAGAGGAUGAUCAGCCACACUGGGACUGAGACACGGCCCAG